rnacentral:rRNA from 1 species
GUAGUCUGCAACCCGACUACANGAAGCCGGAAUCGCUAGUAAUCGCGGAUCAGAAUGCCGCGGUGAAUACGUUCCCGGGUCUUGUACACACCGCCCGUCACACCAUGGGAGUCGGAAAUGCCCGAAGCCGGUGACCCAACCCGAAAGGGAGGGAGCCGUCGAAGGCAGGUCGGAUGACUGGGGUGAAGUCGUAACAAGGUAUC